GCGGGCCCUGUUUCGGCCUUUCCUCCUGGGCCCGCGUGCUUUCGUUUUUGUGCAGUUGCGAUCUACGUCGUCUCAUCCCCUCCACGGCCCGCCGUCCUCGGAUCGCACUCUCCUGAUGCCUCCCCCAAGGCAGUGGGAUGCGCAGCCAGCCGCCAUCUCGACGGUGGGGUUCCUACAAGGUGGCCACGAUGGCCGCUGGCGCAGUGGUAGUCAGCGGCCUGCUUACGGCGCCCUUGGACUGCUGUGCCAGAUGAAGACCUUGAUAAGGAGACCAGAAGAUGUAACGGAAUGCUGAAGCAGUGCCUGGUUACACCAAGGCACCUGAAAAAGUCCGAGGCCAGUCUGACUGCCUGCUCAUUGAAUUCACUAAGGGCCUUGUCUCCAGCAAAGGUCCCAUCACUGAUUUGAUCUGCAGUUGGUUGGGAAAAAUCAAGAACAACCUUGAAGCAAGCAGAAGCUUUUGCUAAUACUUUUGGAACUUUGGUGCAUACCUUUAGUUCAAGUUCAGUCCGGUCUACAGACAACAAGGGAUACUCACCAAGAAUUCUGUGUUGAAAUGCUUUGUGAUUUAACAUGUAAUUGGGUCAAUAAAACAUUUUUUCUGUAAUUUAAAA